UAUUAAAAUUUCCAUUCACUUGUACUAUAAAACUAGGGUGAUUGACAUAAUAACCAAAAAGUGACACUUGACACGUAACAUACCGUGUACCUCAUGGUAAUAUAUAGAGACUAAUUUUUAACAGCAGAAAUGGAUGAAAUUUUUAACA
rnacentral:pre_miRNA from 1 species